AACUCUACCAGAUGAUCGAAAAUUUAUUGCUGAUAGGCUACUUACUUGAAUGCAGUUGUUCCAAAAUAAAUUAACUGUUCAAAUUUCAAAUCAAGUAUAUUUAUUCAAAUUUUAUUAAAAUAAAUCUAUUUCUGACAUUAACAUUUCUAACAUAUGUUCCACAGAUUGCACUCACCAUUCAAGCUCAUGCAAGCAAGUUGAAGAUAAGCGAGAUGCUGUUAUUCGCUGGGAAAAUCAUCUGAGGAGCUCAUUGAAGCCUAACAGGAUGUCAGCAGAGACAUGAUUAAAGAUUGCUUCACCAGUCAUGAAACGAAGAUCAUUGAACUGGGCAACACUGUAGGAGAGGAAGAUGCCAACAUGGCUGACGUCGAUAUCGUCAUUGAGGGAACUAAGGUGCUGUUUAACUCUGAUUAACCCUCUA